UAGCCGUAAACGAUACUCGCUAGGCGUCGGCCACGGUGCGACCGUUGUCGGUGCCGUAGGGAAGCCGUGAAGCGAGCCACCUGGGAAGUACGGCCGCAAGGCUGAAACUUAAAGGAAUUGGCGGGGGAGCACAACAACGGGUGGAGCUUGCGGUUUAAUUGGACUCAACGCCGGGAAGCUCACCGGAUAAGACAGCGGAAUGAUUGCCGGGCUGAAGACCCUGCAUGACCAGCUGAGAGGAGGUGCAUGGCGUAGUCGUGU
rnacentral:rRNA from 1 species